rnacentral:rRNA from 1 species
GACGAACGCUGGCGGCGUGCUUAACACAUGCAAGUCGAACGGAAAGGCCCUGCUUUUGUGGGGUGCUCGAGUGGCGAACGGGUGAGUAACACGUGAGUAACCUGCCCUUGACUUUGGGAUAACUUCAGGAAACUGGGGCUAAUACCGGAUAGGAGCUCCUGCUGCAUGGUGGGGGUUGGAAAGUUUCGGCGGUUGGGGAUGGACUCGCGGCUUAUCAGCUUGUUGGUGGGGUAGUGGCUUACCAAGGCUUUGACGGGUAGCCGGCCUGAGAGGGUGCCCGGCCACAUUGGGACUGAGAUACGGCCCAGACUCCUACGGGAGGCAGCAGUGGGGAAUAUUGCACAAUGGGCGGAAGCCUGAUACAGCAACGCCGCGUGCGGGAUGACGGCCUUCGGGUUGUAAACCGCUUUCGCCUGUGACGAAGCGUGAGUGACGGUAAUGGGUAAAGAAGCACCGGCUAACUACGUG